rnacentral:rRNA from 1 species
AACGAACGCUGGCGGCGUGGAUAAGACAUGCAAGUCGAACGGAUUAUCUUUCGUAGCAAUACGGGAGGUAGUCAGUGGCGCAAGGGUGCGUAACACGUGGGCAACCUGCCCGGAAGUGGGGGAUAGCUCGCCGAAAGGCGAAUUAAUACCGCAUGUGACUACUGGUGGAAUCACCGGGACGUCAAAGUCGGGGCAACCUGACGCUUCUGGAUGGGCCCGCGGCCUAUCAGCUAGUUGGUGAGGUAACGGCUCACCAAGGCGAUGACGGGUAGCUGGUCUGAGAGGACGACCAGCCACACUGGAACUGAGACACGGUCCAGACACCUACGGGUGGCAGCAGUCGAGAAUUUUUCUCAAUGGGGGAAACCCUGAAGGAGCGACGCCGCGUGGAGGAUGAAGGUCUUCGGAUUGUAAACUCCUGUCAUUGGUGAACAAGGCCCUGGGAGUAACUGCCCUUGGGUUUGAUAGUAGCCGAAGAGGAAGAGACGGCUAACUCUGUGCCAGCAGCCGCAGUAAUAC